rnacentral:rRNA from 1 species
AUUGAACGCUGGCGGCAUGCCUUACACAUGCAAGUCGAACGGCAGCACGGGUGCUUGCACCUGGUGGCGAGUGGCGAACGGGUGAGUAAUACAUCGGAACAUGUCCUGUAGUGGGGGAUGGCCCGGCGAAAGCCGGAUUAAUACCGCAUACGAUCUACGGAUGAAAGCGGGGGACCUUCGGGCCUCGCGCUAUAGGGUUGGCCGAUGGCUGAUUAGCUAGUUGGUGGGGUAAAGGCCUACCAAGGCGACGAUCAGUAGCUGGUCUGAGAGGACGACCAGCCACACUGGGACUGAGACACGGCCCAGACUCCUACGGGAGGCAGCAGUGGGGAAUUUUGGACAAUGGGCGAAAGCCUGAUCCGGCAAUGCCGCGUGUGUGAAGAAGGCCUUCGGGUUGUAAAGCACUUUUGUCCGGAAAGAAAUCCUUGGCCCUAAUACGGUCGGGGGAUGACGGUACCGGAAGAAUAAGCACCGGCUAACUACGUG